GGAUCGGUUAGCUCAGUAGUUCGAGCGUGGUGCUGAAAACAAUGAUAACACCGAGGUCGCGGGUUUGAUUCCCGCUCGGUCCC
rnacentral:tRNA from 1 species